AAUACGGAGGUGGCAAGCGUUGCUCGGAAUCACUGGGCGUAAAGCGCACGUAGGCGGCUUCUUAAGUCAGGGGUGAAAUCCUGGAGCUCAACUCCAGAACUGCCCUUGAUACUGAGGAGCUUGAGUCCGGGAGAGGUGAGUGGAACUGCGAGUGUAGAGGUGAAAUUCGUAGAUAUUCGCAAGAACACCAGUGGCGAAGGCGGCUCACUGGCCCGAGACUGACGCUGAGGUGCGAAAGCGUGGGGAGCAAACA
rnacentral:rRNA from 1 species